rnacentral:SRP_RNA from 1 species
UCUGAGUGUGGUGGUAUGUGACUAUAGUCCCAGCUACUUGGUAGGCUAAGGUGGGAGGAUCACUUGAAUCCAUUAGUUCUGGGCUGCAGUGUGCUAUGUCGAUUGGGUGUCUGUGCUAAGUUUGGCCUCAAUAUGGUGACUUCUCCAGAGUGGAGGCCCACCACAUUGCCUAAGGAGGGGUGAACUGGCCCAGGUCAGAAACACAGAAGGUCAAAACUUCCAUGUUGACCCACUUUCUUUUAUGGUAUUGUCUCCAGCAUUUGUUCUGCUUGGGUUAGGGACUGAGAAAGGAUUUUUCUCCUUCU